rnacentral:lncRNA from 1 species
CUUAUAAGUAAAAACCCCAAGAGGGCUUCCAGCAGGUAACAAAGCAGCAGGUAAGAUUUUUUUCUGGAAGAAGGCAGAGUUUAGGAAGCAGCCAGGAUUUGGGGGUUAGUUAGCAGGAGUGGGUGUCCCUCUUAUGUGUUGGUUCAAGAACGGAAGAGCACCAACUGCUCCUUGAGAUUGUGUUUUCAGUGGUGGGAAGGGGAGGUGGCUUGUAAGCAAAAGCAUAGAAUUUUCCUUCUGUCCUCGCGCCCAUCAGAGGCUUUGAAGCCCUCAGGCAGGGCCAGCAGGUUUGUUCCCUAGGCACGCCCCGGGUCAGGACUUCAUUUCCCAGAAUUCCUAGCUUUCCUAACGUACUCGGGCUCCGAGUGCCUGUGUGCGGGAGCGUAGGAAAGCGCGUGCGUGCGUGGGCGUGCUGGUGGAGGUGCAUUCUUCAGAGCCCGGGCUGGGAGGCAGCGCGGCUCUCUCCCCCGCAGUUACCGGCGUCUUGCGCGGCACCUGCAAUCCAAGGCAGGUUGCAAGCGCAGACCCGGCCUGCCCCACCCUCAUCCCCCAGGCUUCGGCUGCUGCCGCCUCUGCCGCCACUGGUCCCCCGGACCACGGACUUUUUCUGCCCCGCACUCUCCGCCUGGCCCUCGGCGUGUCCUGAAGGGAGCGGCCCAGCCCCCAGGGAAUUUCCACUUGAUCCGGGUGCAUCCGCCCCCAAGGCUGUCAGCGUUUCCCAUCGCCGCCUUCCAGUGCGCACCCGGCCCUGAGCGCUGCCUCACUCAAACUUUCCUUAAUGCGUUUUAUUUGGGGAGUACCAGGCGGAAAAUGUCACAUGGGAACUGGAGGGGCAGGCAGGCGAGUGGACAGCGAAGGAGAAAGCAGAGUUGUCAACUGUUACUACUUGCUCCUGAUCCCUUUGCAAAGAAGGGAGAAGUGAAGUGA